UGGGGAAUAUUGCACAAUGGGCGAAAGCCUGAUACAGCGACGCCGCGUGAGGGAUGACGGCCUUCGGGUUGUAAACCUCUUUCAGUAGGGACGAAGCGCAAGUGACGGUACCUGCAGAAGAAGCACCGGCUCACUACGUGCCAGCAGCCGCGGUAAUACGUAGGGUGCGAGCGUUGUCCGGAAUUACUGGGCGUAAAGAGCUCGUAGGCGGUUUGUCACGUCGUCUGUGAAAUCCUAGGGCUUAACCCUGUACGUGCAGGCGAAACGGGAUGACUUGAGUACUACAGGGGAGACUGGAAUUUCUGGUGUAGCGGUGGAAUGCACAGAGAUCAGGAAGAACACCGAUGGCGAAGGCAGGUCUCUGGGUAGUAACUGACGCUGAGGAGCGAAAGCAUGGGUAGCGAACAGG
rnacentral:rRNA from 1 species